GGAGAGGUGGCUGAGCGGUUGAAAGCGGCGGUCUUGAAAACCGUUGUGCCGAAAGGUACCCAGAGUUCGAAUCUCUGCCUCUCCGCCA
rnacentral:tRNA from 1 species